rnacentral:lncRNA from 1 species
GGAGAAAUUAUGAGCGAGAGCCUGACACCUGAUGCUGGCGGCUUUUGUCUCGCCAAGUUGACCCAUUAUUUGGCCACCUUGUGCGGCGUGUGACUAUGGUGUCCGGGUAAGUGGCUGACGUGGCAGGCGUCCCGGGAAUGGGAGAAGAGAUGGGUAUAUAUAUGUAUUACCUGAAAGCUGAGGGCAGUUGUUGCCUUGGAUCAUGCAGAGAGUAUGCAGCCACACCCAUGCCUUAGAUGUGUGUAAUUCAAGUGGAGAAGACACAAGCCAGUGGUCACAAUAUCAACACUUGAGUGUUCUGUAAACGGAUUGGUGUCAGCAGAAAACCAACAGUGAUGUGGUGGCACACAGUGAACUGACCAGACCCAGGCAGCAGCAGCUCUUUUGGUGGC